rnacentral:rRNA from 1 species
AACGAACGCUGGCGGCAGGCCUAACACAUGCAAGUCGAACGCCCGUAGCAAUACGGGAGUGGCAGACGGGUGAGUAACGCGUGGGAACGUGCCCUUCGGUUCGGAAUAACUCAGGGAAACUUGAGCUAAUACCGGAUACGUCCGUAAGGAGAAAGAUUUAUCGCCGAAGGAUCGGCCCGCGUCGGAUUAGCUAGUUGGUGAGGUAACGGCCCACCAAGGCGACGAUCCGUAGCUGGUCUGAGAGGANGAUCAGCCACACUGGGACUGAGACACGGCCCAGACUCCUACGGGAGGCAGCAGUGGGGAAUUUUGGACAAUGGGGGCAACCCUGAUCCAGCCAUGCCGCGUGCGGGAAGAAGGCC